rnacentral:rRNA from 1 species
CUUGGCUCUCGCAUCGAUGAAGAACGCAGCGAAAUGCGAUAAGUAAUGUGAAUUGCAGAAUUCAGUGAAUCAUCGAAUCUUCGAACGCACCUUGCACCCUUUGGUAUUCCGAAGGGUACACCCGUUUGAGUGUCAUUGUAAUCUCACUCCCUAAACUUCUUGUUGGGGAUGUGGAAUUGGAUGCUGUCGCUUUGCGACUCGUCUGGAAUGCUUCAGUGUACCCCGCUUGUCGGCGUAACAGUGUGAUAAGUAUCUUCACUGGUAGUCUCUUCGGAGGCGCGCUCUCAGAUGGGCUUCUAUGCUUACAACCGUCUUUGGACAACAACUGACAAUUUGACCUCAAAUCGGGUGGGACUACCCGCUGAACUUAAGCAUAUCAAUAAGCGGAGGAAAAGAAACU